rnacentral:misc_RNA from 1 species
GAAUUCACAUCGAGUUCAAGGAUACAACGGGGGUGCUUGACACCGUGCACAUAAGACUUGAAAUCAGAGCACAGUUCAGCAGUUGCCCAAAGCAGUCAAAUUUACAAGCAAACCGAAUUACAGGUUCAGAAAAUCCUAAAGGACAAGAUUAAACCAUUUCGGAUGCAACACUUAAACUAAAUUCAUACCCUGCUUACCAUGCAUGCAUUUACUACAGCAAAGUUAGCGCCUGGAUUCAGCCGUGUUGCCUGGGUUCAGCAAAAUUUUCACAAUUCACACUGAUAUUGCUCCGUUGCUACUCUCACUAGUUCCUCUCUUAGCACUCUCCAACUUUUGUAGUUCAGCCUCGUGUUUUUUUUCCAUUGAAGUGCAUCAAAGUGACUGCCCAUCAGGGCACAAUAUUACACAAUUUGCACCUGUUUGGUGCUAUUGUUAUCUCUCCACCAUUUUUCCAACCACUUUCCACCUUGGAAAGUACAUUCUUGUGCUUUUGACCUUCCAAGUGUGCCUUGAGCUCAUAUUCAUUCAUGCACCAAAUUUUACAAAACCCACACCAGAGUCGCUGAUUUCGUACCUCAUAGGGCUUUUCUUUCUUACAAAAUUUCAGCUCCCGCAUUUUUAACUUGUGUUUUUUACCUUCUAUGUGCUGCUGGAAACUAAUAUAACCCGAACAUGGCACUUGGCAAACCUUGCAAAAAAAUCGAUCCAUCCGAUUCUCUAGUUCAGUUCUUGUGGCUGUGGAGCUGUCAGUAAUUCAAGGCUGUUUGUUAGGGCUUUCCGUUUUAUUCCUGAAAGCCUAGCAGUUGAAGCUGAAUUUGGCAUUGGGUUAGGACUUGGACUAGGACCUGAACUUGAAGAUUUAACCUCCAUUGGUAUAAUGUCCCUGUAGAAGUUGGAAUUGGAAGGUGAUUGCAACAUGGCCACCUUCCUCCUGUAUGCCAGCUCUCUUUGAACAGCAACCUCCACUGACAUAUUAUUUACUCCCCUCACAUCAGCCAUUUCUCUAUCAAUUAUAUCCUCUUAGAAUACCUGUCACUGUAUAACCCUAAAGUACGAACACACUCAGUCCAGCAAGAGUUUCCACAUGCCCUUCUCAAGACAAUCACCACAUCAAGGAAGAAGUUCAAAGCACUCAAUUUUUAAAACCCAGAUUAAGGACAGCCCAAGGAUCAUAAUGAGAGAAUUAAAUGAAACCCAUUAUCCUCAAUCCCUCAUAAAUGAACUACUCCUUGGAUCGGAUGGGAC